rnacentral:tRNA from 1 species
CCCCUGGUGGCUCAGAGGUUAAAGCAUCUGCCUGCAAUGCAGGAGACCAGGGUUCAAUUCCUGUGUUGGGA